rnacentral:rRNA from 1 species
AUUGAACGCAGGCGGCAGGCCUAACACAUGCACGUCGAACGCGUGGCGGACGGGUGAGGAAUGUCAGGGAAACUGCCUGAUGGAGGGGGAUAACUCCUGGAAACGGUAGCUAAUACCGCAUACCAUCGGAUGUGCCCAGAUGUGAUGAGCUAGUAGGUGGGGUAACGGCUCACUUAGGCGACGAUCCCUAGCUGGUCUGAGAGGAUGACCAGCCACACUGGAACUGAGACACGGUCCAGUCUCCUACGGGAGGCAGCAGGGGGGAAUAUUGCACAAUGGGCGCAAUCCUGAUGCAGCCAUGCCUCGGUUAUGAAGAAGGCCUGCGGGUUGUAAAGUACUUUCAACUUUGAGGCGUUACCCACAGAUGAAGCACCGGCUAACUACGUGCCAGCAGCCGCGGUAAUUC